UGGAUCCAGACUUUGAUUCUGGCUCAGAUUGAACGCUGGCGGCAUGCCUUACACAUGCAAGUCGAACGGCAGCAUGGGGAGCUUGCUCUCUGAUGGCGAGUGGCGAACGGGUGAGUAAUACAUCGGAACGUGUCCGUUUGUGGGGGACAACCGUCCGAAAGGAUGGCUAAUACCGCAUAAGACCUGAGGGUGAAAGCCGGGGACCGCAAGGCCCGGCGCAGACGGAGCGGCCGAUGAUUGAUUAGCUAGUUGGGGAGGUAAAGGCUCACCAAGGCGACGAUCAAUAGCUGGUCUGAGAGGACGACCAGCCACACUGGAACUGAGACACGGUCCAGACUCCUACGGGAGGCAGCAGUGGGGAAUUUUGGACAAUGGGGGCAACCCUGAUCCAGCCAUGCCGCGUGCGGGAAGAAGGCCUUCGGGUUGUAAACCGCUUUUGUCAGGGACGAAAAGCUCCGGAGUAAUAUGCCGGAGUGCUGACGGUACCUGAAGAAUAAGCACCGGCUAACUACGUGCCAGCAGCCGCGGUAAUACGUAGGGUGCAAGCGUUAAUCGGAAUUACUGGGCGUAAAGCGUGCGCAGGCGGUUGGGUAAGACAGAUGUGAAAUCCCCGGGCUUAACCUGGGAACUGCAUUUGUGACUGUCCGACUGGAGUACGUCAGAGGGGGGCGGAAUUCCACGUGUAGCAGUGAAAUGCGUAGAUAUGUGGAAGAACACCGAUGGCGAAGGCAGCCCCCUGGGACGCAACUGACGCUCAUGCACGAAAGCGUGGGGAGCAAACAGGAUUAGAUACCCUGGUAGUCCACGCCCUAAACGAUGUCUGCUGGUUGUUGGGAAUUUAAUUCUCAGUAACGAAGCCAACGCGUGAAGCAGACCGCCUGGGGAGUACGGUCGCAAGAUUACAACUCAAAUGAAUUGACGGA
rnacentral:rRNA from 1 species